rnacentral:rRNA from 1 species
AUGCAGCGCCUCUUCGACACCAGCCGCGAGGUCUUCGCCGCCUCCGCCCCCGGCUUCGUGCCGCCGCCCGACGCCGUCCUCCGCCUCUCCGCCAUCCUCAAUGAUCUGAAGCUGCAAGAUGUUGGCAUAGACACAAGCAUGACGUGCUUCAAGCGCAACGACUCCAGGGUGCCUGCUUCAGUCACCUAUCUGCAUUUCUAUGACUGCCCCAAGUUCUCGUUUGGUAUCUUCUGUUUACCCAAGCAUGCUGUGAUUCCUCUGCACAACCAUCCCGGGAUGACCGUCUUCAGCAAGAUGCUCUUCGGCUCCAUGCACCUCAAGUCGUAUGACUGGGCUAGAGCUAACUCAGAGGCUGGCCCUAACAACGCGCUCAUCACCUCAGAUGGGGCUCGUUUGGCAAAGAUAAACACAAACGCCGUUGUUGACGCUUCAGCCGAGACCAUAGUUCUGUACCCUGAAAACGGAGGCAACCUGCACUGCUUCACGGCGCUCACCCCUUGCGCUGUUCUGGACGUGAUGGGACCCCCUUACAACCACCUUGCUGGUAGGGACUGCGCCUACUACAGCGAGUCCCCGUUUGCAAACGCAGCCGGUGUGGUCGACGGGCGGUACUCGUGGCUCAAGGAAAUCCCAAACAACUUCCAGAUGAAGGGCGUAACGAUGCCGCGGUGCUUUGUCGUCUAG